GCGCCGGUAGCUUCAACUGGAUAGAGCGCCGGAUUUCGGCUCCGGAGGUUAUGGGUUCGACUCCUAUCCGGCGCACCA
rnacentral:tRNA from 6 species